UGGGGAAUCUUGCGCAAUGGACGAAAGUCUGACGCAGCCACGCCGCGUGAGUGAAGAAGGCCUUCGGGUUGUAAAGCUCUGUCGGGAGGGACGAAAAAUCUUAGGGUUAAUAGCCCUAGGACUUGACGGUACCUUCAAAGGAAGCACCGGCUAACUCUGUGCCAGCAGCCGCGGUAAUACAGAGGGUGCAAGCGUUGCUCGGAAUCAUUGGGCGUAAAGGGCAGGUAGGUGGUCUCAUUUGUCUGGGGUGAAAGCCUUGAGCUUAACUCAAGAAGUGCCCCAGAAACGGUGAGACUAGAGUCUUGGAGGGGGUCGCGGAAUUCCCGGUGUAGCGGUGAAAUGCGUAGAGAUCGGGAGGAACACCAGAGGCGAAAGCGGCGACCUGGACAAGUACUGACACUCAACUGCGAAAGCGUGGGGAGCAAACAGG
rnacentral:rRNA from 1 species